rnacentral:rRNA from 1 species
CCUACGGGAGGCUGCAGUGGGGAAUAUUGCACAAUGGGGGAAACCCUGAUGCAGCGACGCCGCGUGAGUGAGGAAGUAUUUCGGUAUGUAAAGCCCUAUCAGCAGGGAAGAAUAUGACGGUAUCUGACUAAGAAGCCCCGGCUAACUAUGUGCCAGCAGCCGCGGUAAUACGUAGGGUGCAAGCGUUACUCGGAUUUACUGGGGGUAAAGGGUGCGUAGACGGCUAAUCAAGUCAGAAGUGAAAUCCCAGAGCUUAACUUUGGGACUGCAUUUGAAACUGAGUAGCUAGAGUGUGGGAGAGGUAAGCGGAAUUCCUGGUGUAGCGGUGAAAUGCGUAGAUAUUAGGAGGAACACCAGUGGCGAAGGCGACUUACUGGACUGUAACUGACGUUGAGGCUCGAAAGCGUGGGGAGCAAACAGGAUUAGAUACCCCUGUAGUC